UACGGGGGGAGCAAACGUUGUUCGGAAUCACUGGGCGUAAAGGGAGCGUAGGCGGCCAUGUAAGUGAGGUGUUAAAUCCCCCGGCUCAACCGGGGACCUGCACCUCAUACUGCACGGCUUGAGUACAUCAGAGGAGACUGGAAUUCCCGGUGUAGCGGUGAAAUGCGUAGAUAUCUGGAGGAACACCGGUGGCGAAGGCGG
rnacentral:rRNA from 1 species